rnacentral:pre_miRNA from 14 species
CCACCGACUGCUUCGAAUACCAAAAUCAUGGGUAAUCUACAGUAUGCCAGAUUUUGUAUGAGACGCAUUCAGUGGC